GCCGGGCAUGGUGGCCCACACCUGUAAUCCCAGUGACUUGGGAGGCUGAGGCAGGAGGACCACAAGUUCAAAGCCGGUGUCAGCAACUUAGUUAGGUCUUAAGCAGCUUAGUAAGACCCUGUCUCAA
rnacentral:sRNA from 1 species